rnacentral:lncRNA from 1 species
UACGAUCUAACAGCUAGGAACUCGGGGGUCCUUACUAUAUAUCUCUCCAAACCUCACCCCACCCCCCAAAUCCAUCCCUUCUCUAACCCCUCGCGACCGGAACCCUAGCACCACUCCACCUCCGCCGCUCCUCCAUUCAACGCCGCCGCCGGCUGCGAGACACCAAUGACCCUCAAAUUUACGCCAAAUCUUCCCCGUCACCUCCCCUUUCCAAAUCCAUGCUUGGUCUCUCUCAAAUCCCCACCAGUCUUCUUGAAUAUUCAAUUGAAUAGCUGGCUGCUCCGCCGUGCACGGCGACGACGACUCAAACUACCCCAAUGGCAACCAAAAUCACAACCUGAAUUCCUCUGCAUCUCCCCAUUCCCAGUCCAUAACAUGUUUCCUUCGAAUAAACUUAGAGCUCUUCGAAUCUGUGUUCAAAGUCAUGAACCCUAACACCGCCCAAAAUUCCGGCGGUGGUGGAACCAUCGUCAACCAGUGCCAAAAGCAUACCCCUGAACCUCUUCUUUUUCAUUUUUCCAAAUCUCAACAGAGUUCCUAGCAAAUCCCCCUCGAUCUAUCAAAAUCCCAAAUCUCAUUUCGGAACCCUAGGAUAUAAAAUCACCACAUCUUUGAUUUCGUUGGUAUGCAUGGCCUUGGAGCUUUGUUUAUCUCGAGUUUGGAGUUCUAAUUCAUCCCGGAUUAAUGUUGUCAUUUGUACUUGACAAAGAAAAAAUGAAUAACAUUAAUCACGUUAAAUCUGUAUGGGUUCGUAGUUUAAGUUGGUAAGUCUUCUCAAUUUUCCCUUUUCUUUUCAAUUUCGUGCUGUUUCGCUUGCAUAUUUCUCUUUACUAUUUCAUUUGUUUUUCUAAUGCUUGUUCUCUGAGUGAAGAGAAAUGUAAGUCUCCAAUCUAAUUUUCCCUCAUGAUAAAGGCAGUGAUCAUAGUUGUGUCGUGGGUUCUCAAUUUUUCCCCUUCAUUGUUUAUAUUUAUUUUGAACAAUACUAUCUGUUUCUUUCUUUUGAUUAUACCACUGUGCUUUUGAUAAUUAGCUUCAAUUAGAUUUGCAUUAAUUUGUUAAUUUAGUUCUGAAUUGGUUUCAUUUUAGCUUAACAAGGAGGUCAUUUGUUAGUUUAGAUUUUGGGCUUUAAAAGUGGUUCAUUUGUUUAUCUGUUCUAUUUGUCACUGGUUUGCUAAUUGGGUUCCUGAAUGAUGUUGGGCCAUAAGUUCAGUUCUGGCCUGCUCAUUUGGGAUUCGUCUCUUGGGUCGGCUUUGAUCCAUAACUAUUUGAGCAUGAGGUAAAAAUCAGGAAGUUCAAAGGGUAAUUUCAGGGCACUUUGGGGGUAGUUUAGGAAAUAGGACACAUGGAAACGUUUUGUUACUGAUUUGGAAGUUUCUAAUGAGGGGUUCCAUGUGAAUUUCAGAUUUUGUUAGAGUAUAACUUGAGUAGCAAGCCAAUAAGUGAGGGACUUUUAAUCUAAAAAAGGAAUUAAAAGGGGACUCAAAUGCAAACUUAAAAAUCUGAGAUGCCCUACUUUGUGGCAUAUAGAGAGAUCAUUCCUUGCCUUUGAAGAGAGAGAUUCUUGGUUUUAGAUAGCUAAAAAAAUUGAAAAAUGCCAGGCGGCUACAUCACCAAAUAUCGCUAUUUCAUUGCCUCUGCUUUGAUUUUUUCUCACAUCUGAAGCAUUUUUGGGUUUCACUUAAAGCUAAAGCAUGAUUUGAAUCUAGCUUUAAAUUCUAGGAUUUGUGUUGGGGUGGAAGUUACUGUUUCAUUGGUAUUUAAGUUGAUUUCACUAGUCAUUUGGUUGAAUCUGGGACUUUGCUUGCUGCUGUCAAAUUCUAUUUCGUUUGGUCUACUGCUGCUGUUGCUUGCUUACCAUAAUCACCUCUUUUCUUUCUAUAAUCUCUAGGUACACUCCUUCUAACUAUAUCGUCUGUGGAGUAAAAUUUGAGAAAUACAUUGAUUUGAAGAGUUGAAGCUAUGAUCAAUGUUAGUUUCUCUUUGUUUUUUUUUUUUUUUUUUUAUAUUUAUGCGAUUGAAUCUAAUCCAUGUUGUGCUUCAUUAUAGUAGUAUCUACACUUCUUUCGUUUUAUUAAGUGUGGAUUGGAAUUCGGGAAUGUAUAACUGCUUCAAAAACAUUUUGGAUCUUGUAAUAUGUGACUUUAGAUUGGUACUUUAAUUGCCCGACACUGUUUAGUUUUGCUGCCCCAAUUGUAGAUUUGGAUACAUGGGACACUGAAUAUAGGUCAUGAUGUUGCUCCCCAGUACAUGAUUUGGAACUUGUUUUAAAAAUCUUCUCUGUGGGAAUUCAAUGGAGCAUUCAGGAGAUAAGAAUAUUGUCAAAUGGAACCUGAUUAUGUUCAAUGUUUCGUUUCAAGUGAUGUUGCUUUCCUGGAAAAUAGUUCAUGAAGUCACUAAUUUGUAUUUUUAAGUUUGGUUUCGAGAUUGUCUUUAGAAAUAUUUUAGCAUGAUUCAUUCGAUGUUUGUUGAGUUUAGGUGUUACUAGAGGAUGUUAAUUAGGAAAUUAAACCUGGAUUAGCGAGUUAGAUUGUAUGUUCAUUUAGAAAUGUGCUAGACAAAUCAAGAGGCAUGUUGCUUGUUCUACUUUCAAGUCAUUAAAGGUUCCAGAAUUGAAUAUUGGUUUAGUCAAGUAGCUCACUAAUUAAGCUGAGUAGCAUCAAGCAGGUUGCAUCAUAUCAUUUUCGUAGAAACUUUGAAUUAUCUUGGAUCGUUUAAUUCCAUCAAGGAUUGGGCUCAUCGCUAGCCCAAGUCCGAAGGAGUUUUUUAGUCUCAUAAAGAAAAUCCCCCUUUUCCUUAGGCAGUCAAUUAGACCUUUUUCAGAUUCGGGACAUGCCAUUUAGCGAAUUUUCAUGGCUUCCCGCAAAGUUAAUAACACGUUAGUCGCUUCAGGCGCGUUCUUUAAUAAUUUAUCUUCCUAAUUGUGGGUGCGCAUUUAUUUGACUCAAAUCUAAAUCCCAACAAUAUUAAAAUAUGUCAAAAUUCACGGGUGUAUUUAUGUGACGUGGUUUGAGACGUGUUUUAAUACCAUUGCAAUUCUCUUUAAAAAAUAAUAAAAAAUGGUUAAAAGGUUAAAAUUUGCACAUAGGUAUAAAUGAAUUAAAAUUAUAUAAUAAGACAAAUAUAACAGUUGAGUGUUUGUGCUAGAACAACAAAACUCGGGAGUGCCUAACACCUCCUCCCAAGUUAACAUAAUUCCUUCCCGGAUUUCUGGCUCGCAAACUGUAUACAGAGUCAAAUCUUCCUCGAUUCGGGAUUUAAACCGGUGACUUGGUACACAACUAAUUAUCUCAAGUGACGACUCUAAAAAUCUCUUAAACAAAUAUAUCAUGUUUCGAUUGUCCUUUAAUUGGAAAAACUUCCUUAUCUACGCUUUUUGCCAGGUUGUAGUGUAAAAAAAGAAAGUGUGACAGCUCUGGCGACUCUGCUGGGGACUGAACCCAGAAUCUCCGGUUGAGGGUUCAAGAAUUUGAGCUUUAAAUAAUUGUUGUAUUUGGAUUUAUUUAUUUUAUUUUAUUGCAUGAUAUGCUAAAAGUUGUCUUUACCGCUUUAAUAUUAUUUGGACUGUAUAUAAAUUGAUGCGAAACCCUUCUCUUCUUACCUCUAGGGAUGUGCUCGCUGGUCGAGACUCCCUAUUCUGUUAGUGUCAUACCUGAAAAUAAGAAAGAGGCUCGGACAAGUUACAAAGCCGGAUGUCCUUUUGGUUCUGGUACGUAGCCCCCUCCUCGAGUCGAGUUGUC